CCACAGCUCCCACAGCCACUUUGCCCACAGAGUGCUCGGGGUUGGCGAUGCCAGGAGGAACAUCGGAUGCUUCAGCCAGGCAGCCCUGCCAGCAGCCAGAGCAGUCGGCACUGCUCACGAGGCAUGGACGGAGUGGCCAGCCACCUCUGACAGCAGAGAGCUUGUUAAAAGAGCUAAAUGCCAUUGAAAAUGUGCUGCUAAUCCUACUCAUCAACAAACGUUAACCACGAAGUGAUAAUAAAGAGAAGAAAGAAAAGAUGUGGCUCCAAUCGGGAUUACGCCUGGUAAAUGCAGAGACCCCCAUCACUCUCUGACAAGCAGCUCUCAUACUGUUUCUCCAAAUAUAUGUCACCAUGCCUGAUUUUGCAAAAGUGCUUUGAUGUUCUUUUGCAGACGGAUAUGCUGCACUUUUCCUUUGGCUUGUACAAACAAAGACAGGCAUUUUAGUUUUCACGGCAAAUACUGUCAGAUGUUUUAUGUGCAGCAAUGAAAAUUAAGUAAAUCUUUGGUAUUACAAGUCUUCCUCACUUGAAACAGGCUUGGCUUAGCUACUGGUGAAUGUGAGAAAAAAUACAUAAUUUUGUUCUAGACAAA